rnacentral:rRNA from 1 species
UACGUAGGGCGCAAGCGUUGUCCGGAAUUAUUGGGCGUAAAGAGCUCGUAGGCGGUCUGUUGCGUCUGCUGUGAAAACCCGGGGCUUAACCCCUGGCUUGCAGUGGAUACGGACAGACUAGAGGUAGGUAGGGGAGAAUGGAAUUCCCGGUGUAGCGGUGAAAUGCGCAGAUAUCGGGAGGAACACCGGUGGCGAAGGCGGUUCUCUGGGCCUUACCUGACGCUGGGGAGCGAAAGCGUGGGGAGCGAACAGG